rnacentral:rRNA from 1 species
GCAUAUCAAUAAGCGGAGGAAAAGAAACCAACAGGGAUUGCCCCAGUAACGGCGAGUGAAGCGGCAACAGCUCAAAUUUGAAAUCUGGCCCCAGGCCCGAGUUGUAAUUUGCAGAGGAUGCUUUUGGCGCGGUGCCUUCUAAGUUCCCUGGAACGGGACGCCAUAGAGGGUGAGAGACCCGUACGGUUGGACACCAAGCCUUUGUAAAGCUCCUUCGACGAGUCGAGUAGUUUGGGAAUGCUGCUCUAAAUGGGAGGUAUAUUUCUUCUAAAGCUAAAUACCGGCCAGAGACCGAUAGCGCACAAGUAGAGUGAUCGAAAGAUGAAAAGCACUUUGAAAAGAGGGUUAAACAGCACGUGAAAUUGUUAAAAGGGAAGCGCUUGUGACCAGACUUGCGCCCGGUGAAUCACCCAGCUCUCGCGGCUGGGGCACUUUGCCGGCUCAGGCCAGCAUCAGCUUGCCGUCGGGGACAAAAGCUUCGGGAACGUAGCUCUCUUCGGGGAGUGUUAUAGCCUGUUGCAUAAUACCCUUCGGCGGGCUGAGGUACGCGCUCCGCAAGGAUGCUGGCAUAAUGGUCAUCAGCGACCCGUCUUGAAACACGGACCAAGGAGUCAACCUUAUGUGCGAGUGUUUGGGUGUUAAACCCCUACGCGUAAUGAAAGUGAACGCAGGUGAGAGCUUCGGCGCAUCAUCGACCGAUCCUGAUGUUCUCGGAUGGAUUUGAGUAAGAGCAUAUAGGGUUGGACCCGAAAGAAGGUGAACUAUGCGUGUAUAGGGUGAAGCCAGAGGAAACUCUGGUGGAGGCUCGCAGCGGUUCUGACGUGCAAAUCGAUCGUCAAAUAUGCGCAUGGGGGCGAAAGACUAAUCGAACCUUCUAGUAGCUGGUUCCCC